rnacentral:rRNA from 1 species
GAUGAACGCUGGCGGCGUGCCUAAUACAUGCAAGUCGAGCGAACGGACGAGAAGCUUGCUUCUCUGAUGUUAGCGGCGGACGGGUGAGUAACACGUGGAUAACCUACCUAUAAGACUGGGAUAACUUCGGGAAACCGGAGCUAAUACCGGAUAAUAUUUUGAACCGCAUGGUUCAAAAGUGAAAGACGGUCUUGCUGUCACUGAUAGAUGGAUCCGCGCUGCAUUAGCUAGUUGGUAAGGUAACGGCUUACCAAGGCAACGAUGCAUAGCCGACCUGAGAGGGUGAUCGGCCACACUGGAACUGAGCCACGGUCCAGACUCCUACGGGAGGCAGCAGUAGGGAAUCUUCCGCAAUGGGCGAAAGCCUGACGGAGCAACGCCGCGUGAGUGAUGAAGGUCUUCGGAUCGUAAAACUCUGUUAUUAGGGAAGAACAUAUGUGUAAGUAACUGUGCACAUCUUGACGGUACCUAAUCAGAAAGCCACGGCUAACUACGUG